rnacentral:rRNA from 1 species
AUUGAACGCUGGCGGCAUGCUUUACACAUGCAAGUCGAACGGUAACAGGGAGCUUGCUCCGCUGACGAGUGGCGAACGGGUGAGUAAUGCAUCGGAACGUACCCAGUCGUGGGGGAUAACGUAGCGAAAGUUACGCUAAUACCGCAUACGUCCUGAGGGAGAAAGCGGGGGACCGAAAGGCCUCGCGCGAUUGGAGCGGCCGAUGUCGGAUUAGCUAGUUGGUAGGGUAAAGGCCUACCAAGGCGACGAUCCGUAGCGGGUCUGAGAGGAUGAUCCGCCACACUGGGACUGAGACACGGCCCAGACUCCUACGGGAGGCAGCAGUGGGGAAUUUUGGACAAUGGGCGCAAGCCUGAUCCAGCCAUGCCGCGUGAGUGAAGAAGGCCUUCGGUGUAAGCUCUUUCAGGUGGAAGAAAACG